CGGAGUGUCGUAUAGUGGUAGUAUACACGCUUCGGGUGUGUGUGGUCUGGGUUCGAUUCCCAGCACUCCGA
rnacentral:tRNA from 1 species